AUACGUAGGGGGCGAGCGUUGUCCGGAAUGAUUGGGCGUAAAGGGCGCGUAGGCGGCGCGGUAAGUCUGGAGUGAAAGUCCUGCUUUCAAGGUGGGAAUUGCUUUGGAUACUGCCGCGCUUGAGUGCAGGAGAGGUUAUCGGAAUUCCCGGUGUAGCGGUGAAAUGCGUAGAGAUCGGGAGGAACACCAGUGGCGAAGGCGGGUAACUGGACUGCAACUGACGCUGAGGCGCGAAAGUGUGGGGAGCAAACAGGAUUAGAUACCCUGGUAGUCCACACUGUAAACGAUGAAUGCUAGGUGUAAGAGGUAUCGACCCCUUUUGUGCCGGAGUCAACACAAUAAGCAUUCCGCCUGGGGGGUACGGCCGCAAGGUUGAAACUCAAAGGAAUUGACGGGG
rnacentral:rRNA from 1 species